CUCUAAGGUGACUGCCGGUGACAAACCGGAGGAAGGUGGGGAUGACGUCAAAUCAUCAUGCCCCUUAUGACCUGGGCUACACACGUGCUACAAUGGACGGUACAAAGAGCUGCAAGACCGCGAGGUGGAGCUAAUCUCAUAAAACCGUUCUCAGUUCGGAUUGUAGGCUGCAACUCGCCUACAUGAAGCUGGAAUCGCUAGUAAUCGCGGAUCAGCAUGCCGCGGUGAAUACGUUCCCGGGCCUUGUACACACCGCCCGUCACACCACGAGAGUUUGUAACACCCGAAGUCGGUGGGGUAACCUUUUUGGAGCCAGCCGCCUAAGGUGGGACAGAUGAUUGGGGUGAAGUCGUAACAAGGUAGCCGUAUCGGAAGGUGCGGCUGGAUCACCUCCUUU
rnacentral:rRNA from 1 species